rnacentral:rRNA from 1 species
GAUGAACGCUGGCGGUAUGCUUAACACAUGCAAGUCGAACGGUAACUCCGGACUUUUUGGCGGACGUCUGGGUAACGCGUGGGAAUCUAACGAUUGGUACGGGACACCUACUGGAAACGGUGCCUAAUACCAGUUAAGCUGAAAAGUGAAAGAUUGAUUGCCAAUUGAAGAGCUCGCGUCUGAUUAGCUAGUUGGUGGGGUAAGGGCCUACCAAUGCGUCGAUUAGUAGCUGGUUUGAGAGGACGGGCAGACACGCUGGGACUGAGACACGGCCCAGACUCCUGCGGGAGGAGGCAGGAGGGAAGAAUACGCAGUGGGGGAAAGACUGACGGAGCAAUCGCGCGUGAGGGAGGAAGGCUGUUGGGAUGUAAACUUCUUUUCUGUGGGAAGAUAAUGACGGUACCAGAGGAAUAAGCAACGGCUAACUCCGUG